rnacentral:misc_RNA from 1 species
CCUCCAGCGCGUCUUCGCUGGGCGUUGGGGACCGGGCCUGCCUCGCGGCGGGCGCGUCCCCGAAAUGAAGUGGCGGUCGUCCCGUGGACUCCCCUGCGCAGUAACUCACCUCGCAUCGGACAGCGGAGCGACCUCGCCCGUCAACCCAACAAUCCAUCAAGGUUGACCUCGGAUCAGGUAGGAAUACCCGCUGAACUUAA